GUGUUGAAUGAAAGGAGAGAAGGUUAGCACUCCCGUUGACCCAGGGACAAGGAUGGAAGAGGCCCUUGGACCUGACAACAUGCAUACGGUCAAAGCAUUGCCACCUACUUCGUGGCAUCUAACCAUUAUUUUUA
ensembl:snRNA